UACGUAGGGACCGAGCGUUGUCCGGAUUCAUUGGGCGUCAAGAGCUCGUAGGCGGCCACUCAAGUCGAAUGUGAAACCUCGAGGCUUAACCUCGAGCCUGCAUUCGAUACUGGGUGGCUAGAGUCUGGUAGGGGGAUCUGGAAUUCCUGGUGUAGCGGUGGAAUGCGCAGAUAUCAGGAGGAACACCGGUGGCGAAGGCGGGAUCCUGGGCCAGUACUGACGCUGAGGAGCGAAAGCGUGGGGAGCAAACAGG
rnacentral:rRNA from 1 species